GGAAGAGUUAGGGUUUUUAAGAAGAGGAAGAAGAAGGAUAGAGAAACGCCCAAACCUGAACUGAAGCACCCUCAAUCUGAGGUCUCCUACUAGAGCUAACUAGAGUAUCAAGAGGAAUGGUUUGAGCGUUGGAUUGUUCGUUUCCGGCAAGAAACGGGCAAGAACGUGAGGUGAGGAGUCUUGCAAGUUUUUAGAGGAAACGCGGCCAAAAAUCGCAUCGGAAAAUAAAAUCGAGAAACUGUCCUACUUCGGCUAUCGGCGACAGACACGCGGCCGCCGGAACGGGAGGACAUGCAUCGAGCAACUGGUGGAGGGACACGUCUGGCGCCUCCGCUGACAUGCAUCCGACGGUUGACCCGAAAAUCCGACCCGCACUCGGUGAAGCAACCCAACGACCCGCGGUCCAACCCGAAAGCUACCGCCAGUCCCUGUACGCACGUGUCAUGCCCAGAAAAUUUGAGGGGUAAGUCUACGUCUGCUG